rnacentral:rRNA from 1 species
GACGAACGCUGGCGGCGUGCUUAACACAUGCAAGUCGAACGGAAAGGCCCUGCUUUUGUGGGGUGCUCGAGUGGCGAACGGGUGAGUAACACGUGAGUAACAUGCACUUGACUUUGGGAUAACUUCAGGAAAAUGGGGCUAAUACCGGAUAGGAGCUACUGCUGCAUGGUGGGGGUUGGAAAGUGUCGGCGGUUUGGGAUGGACUCGAGGGUAAUCCGCUUGUUGGUGGGGUAGUGGCUUACCAAGGUUUUGACGGGUAGCCGGCCUGGGAGGGUGAACGGCCUCAUGGGGACUGCGGUACGGCCCAGACUCCAACGGGACGCAACAGGGGGGAAUAUUGCACAAUGGGCGGAAGCCUGAUGCAGCAACGCCGCGUGCGGGAUGACGGCCUUCGGGUUGUAAACCGCUUUCGCCUGUGACGAAGCGUGAGUGACGGUAAUGGGUAAAGAAGCACCGGCUAACUACGUG